rfam:Schistosoma rodhaini strain Burundi genome assembly, scaffold: SROB_scaffold0011764
AGCCUUCUAUAUCCGUGCUGAGAUUUUGUCAAACACCAGACUACAAGGGCUGAUGAGACUCCCAAGGCAAUACAUGAUA